rnacentral:rRNA from 1 species
AUUGAACGCUGGCGGCAGGCCUAACACAUGCAAGUCGAGCGGAUGAAGGGAGCUUGCUCCUGGAUUCAGCGGCGGACGGGUGAGUAAUGCCUAGGAAUCUGCCUGGUAGUGGGGGAUAACGUCCGGAAACGGGCGCUAAUACCGCAUACGUCCUGAGGGAGAAAGUGGGGGAUCUUCGGACCUCACGCUAUCAGAUGAGCCUAGGUCGGAUUAGCUAGUUGGUGGGGUAAAGGCCUACCAAGGCGACGAUCCGUAACUGGUCUGAGAGGAUGAUCAGUCGCACUGGAACUGAGACACGGUCCAGACUCCUACGGGAGGCGGCAGUGGGGAAUAUUGGACAAUGGGCGAAAGCCUGAUCCAGCCAUGCCGCGUGUGUGAAGAAGGUCUUCGGAUUGUAAAGCACUUUAAGUUGGGAGGAAGGGCAGUAAGUUAAUACCUUGCUGUUUUGACGUUACCAACAGAAUAAGCACCGGCUAACUUCGUG